rnacentral:lncRNA from 1 species
ACUGUAGCACAGAGACCUGAGUACCUGGCCGUCUGAUCUCCUACUGUCUACGCAGCUUUACUCUCAUCACUCUGCUCUCGAGUGCCUUCAAAAAAGCCCAUGUCCUGGAGCCUCUGUCCCGGUCUGAAUCCUACCUCUGAUUGAGUCGUUCUCCUGAGCAUCGGAAUUCACCCUCUUCCCAAGGGCUUAACUACAAACUCUAACACCUGGCUAGGAAUUGUGAACACAGUUGUGUAUUGUUGCCCUGUCAUUCACGGCAGGGUCACCUUUGUAGCUUCUUUGUAUCUUAUUCCCCCACCCACACCACUUCUGGACUAGAGCCAUUUGUCCUUCACCUUCUAGUCUUUCACCACAGACCGACGGUUCCCUUAAAAAUCAAAGGUCACCCAGUGCAUCUCUGGGUCAUCUUUUUCUCAUCUGAUGAAGUCUUCCUGAGUACCUACCCUUCAAACUAAAGGAGCGCGAGCUGCCGCUGGGGCGCACAUAGCAUCGCGUAACACUUGGUUCUUCCAGUGGCUAGCCUAGUCAUAGGAGGAGAAAAGUGCUCUCUGGGGUUAACAAAUUCCUUUCUUGAUUUUUGAUCAGCCCCUCUCUCUCAUCAGCCACCUGUCCCCCUUGUAAGCCCCAUUACGUCAUUUACAAAGUGUGAUUGAUGUCUAAUGUAUGAAAGACGGAGGAAAAAGGAAGCUGAUGUGUGCUCUGUGUGUAGUAUGUGCACUUCACUGUAAAGAUUACUUUAGCAACUGGCUGGUCUCUCGUGUCCCAAAUUAAAGUUUGUGCUGUGUAAUGGGUUGAUAGUUCCCUCCUAAAGCAAAAACAGAUGAGCUCUUUCGGUGAGGAAACAGGAUUUUUUUUUUUUUUUUUUUUUAGGCAAAUGAACACUAAUUAGAGUAUCCUGACCUGAGUCAAAAGCUUUGCUUUCUGACUUACAGUCUCUUGCAUCUUUCCUUCCAGUUAUUAGUACCCAGGCACCCAAGACUGAUUGAUGGUCGCACACCGUGGGAGACUUGAAAGGCGGCUGUUGAUAAAUUUUUCAUCCUUUUUUUUGUCUGUGAACAGACAGGAUGCCAGUGGGUGGGACAAUACCAAAUUGUGAGAAUUGGGUUGAAAAUACAGAAGUCAAGACAUUGGAAUGCCCCACUGGCUGUUUGGAUUGAGAGCGGCAUGCACACUGGAAGAGGUAGAGUCUGUGGUGCAGAAAUCAUUCCCAAGUGUCUAAAGGACCCUCCAUGUUUGCCGCUGCGGUCAGUCUUGGGAACUGGGUGCUUUG